GUGUUGUAUGAAAGGAGAGAAAGGUUAGCCCCCCGCUCCCCCCCAUAAGAACAGAACAACAACAAAAGAGGUCUCGAAGACAUGAUAAGGCCCUGUAUCAAAUAAAUGAUUAUUAUUAUUAUAACUCUGUGGCCUUCCACACACUAAUGGUUAAGGCAUUGCCAGCUACUUAGUGGCAAUGUGCCAUUUUUUUUC